rnacentral:rRNA from 1 species
UACGUAGGGUGCAAGCGUUGUCCGGAAUUAUUGGGCGUAAAGAGCGUGUAGGCGGCCCGAUUAGUCCGCUGUGAAAGUCCAGGGCUCAACCCUGGAAUGCCGGUGGAUACUGUCGGGCUAGAGUCCGGAAGGGGCGAGUGGAAUUCCUGGUGUAGCGGUGAAAUGCGUAGAUAUCGGGAGGAACACCUGAGGCGAAGGCGGGCUACGGGGCCGAUACUGACGCUGAUGCGCGAAAGCCAGGGGAGCGAACGGG